rnacentral:miRNA from 1 species
AAUCGUGAUCAGUAUACUUCGUC